rnacentral:rRNA from 1 species
GACAGAGGGUGCGAACGUUGUUCGGAAUUACUGGGCGUAAAGCGUGUGUAGGCGGCCAUGCAAGUCGGGCGUGAAAUCCCACGGCUCAACCGUGGAAGUGCACUCGAAACUGCAUAGCUAGAGUCCUGGAGAGGAAGGUGGAAUGCUUGGUGUAGAGGUGAAAUUCGUAGAUAUCAAGCGGAACACCGGUGGCGAAGGCGGCCUUCUGGACAGUGACUGACGCUGAGACACGAAAGCGUGGGGAGCAAACAGG